rnacentral:piRNA from 1 species
AAGGUUGGGAACCACUGCUGGGGA